rnacentral:rRNA from 1 species
AAACUAGGGAUAGAUACCCUAUUAUUAAGGAGCUUAAUAUUGUGAGUAACUAAAAAUUAUGAAAACAAAAAACUUUGGCGGUACUUUAAGCUUUUCAGAGGAAUUUGCUCUUUAAUGGAUAAAUCGCCUAAAUCUUACUAAAAUUUGUUAAGUCAGUUUGUAUACCACUAUAAAAGUAAUAUUUAAUUAUUAUUACUUUAAUUUUUAAAAUAAAAAAUUAAAUUAAGUCAUGGUGCAGCAUAAAUUUUAGGAUGAAGUGAAUUACAUUUCUUAUUAGAAAUUUAAAAAUUAAAAUUAAUUUUAGGAUUUGAAAGUAAAAAUUCAAUAAAAUGGUUUUUUGAAUUAAGUUCUGAAGUAUGUACAUAUCGCCCGUCGCUCUUUAUUGAAGAUAAGUCGUAAACAUAGUAA